GGGGGUAGAUGGAUGCUGGUGUAUUCCGCGGUCUUCAAAACCGUUGCAGGUCGCGAAAGGCUGCCUGGGUGAGUUCGAUUCUCACAUAUCCCCGCCA
rnacentral:tRNA from 1 species